AUGCAAACAUCGUUUCAAGACAUUCGAAGAUUCGCUCAAUGCGAUCUGAAAUUGGAACAGAAAUUAAAAAUUGUGAAUUUUAUGAAAAGAUUUGGAAAGGCAUCUUUAUGUUUAUCUGUCAAUGGCUUCUUUGAUGUUACCAAGAAGUUUCCUAUCAAGAUGUCUGGUGCUCUGUAUUCUGUGUAUUCGGGUCUCUUAAAUUUCAGGACCGUUUCCAAGAAGAAAAACUGCUCUUACUGAAAUUUGAAUUGAAGGAUCUAUCCUUUUGAAUAUAGUUUCCUUUUAUAAUAUUUUUAUUAAUUAAUAAAUAUAAAUAAAUUCAUUUAUAUAUGAUAAAUUAG